rnacentral:rRNA from 2 species
GACGAACGCUGSCGGCGUGCCUAAUACAUGCAAGUCGAACGAACUCUGGUAUUGAUUGGUGCUUGCAUCAUGAUUUACAUUUGAGUGAGUGGCGAACUGGUGAGUAACACGUGGGAAACCUGCCCAGAAGCGGGGGAUAACACCUGGAAACAGAUGCUAAUACCGCAUAACAACUUGGACCGCAUGGUCCGAGUUUGAAAGAUGGCUUCGGCUAUCACUUUUGGAUGGUCCCGCGGCGUAUUAGCUAGAUGGGGGGUAACGGCUCACCAUGGCAAUGAUACGUAGCCGACCUGAGAGGGUAAUCGGCCACAUUGGGACUGAGACACGGCCCAAACUCCUACGGGAGGCAGCAGUAGGGAAUCUUCCACAAUGGACGAAAGUCUGAUGGAGCAACGCCGCGUGAGUGAAGAAGGGUUUCGGCUCGUAAAACUCUGUUGUUAAAGAAGAACAUAUCUGAGAGUAACUGUUCAGGUAUUGACGGUAUUUAACCAGAAAGCCACGGCUAACUACGUGCCAGCAGCCGCGGUAAUACGUAGGUGGCAAGCGUUGUCCGGAUUUAUUGGGCGUAAAGCGAGCGCAGGCGGUUUUUUAAGUCUGAUGUGAAAGCCUUCGGCUCAACCGAAGAAGUGCAUCGGAAACUGGGAAACUUGAGUGCAGAAGAGGACAGUGGAACUCCAUGUGUAGCGGUGAAAUGCGUAGAUAUAUGGAAGAACACCAGUGGCGAAGGCGGCUGUCUGGUCUGUAACUGACGCUGAGGCUCGAAAGUAUGGGUAGCAAACAGGAUUAGAUACCCUGGUAGUCCAUACCGUAAACGAUGAAUGCUAAGUGUUGGAGGGUUUCCGCCCUUCAGUGCUGCAGCUAACGCAUAAGCAUUCCGCCUGGGGAGUACGGCCGCAAGGCUGAAACUCAAAGGAAUUGACGGGGGCCCGCACAAGCGGUGGAGCAUGUGGUUUAAUUCGAAGCUACGCGAAGAACCUUACCAGGUCUUGACAUACUAUGCAAAUCUAAGAGAUUAGACGUUCCCUUCGGGGACAUGGAUACAGGUGGUGCAUGGUUGUCGUCAGCUCGUGUCGUGAGAUGUUGGGUUAAGUCCCGCAACGAGCGCAACCCUUAUUAUCAGUUCCAGCAUUAAGUUGGGCACUCUGGUGAGACUGCCGGUGACAAACCGGAGGAAGGUGGGGAUGACGUCAAAUCAUCAUGCCCCUUAUGACCUGGGCUACACACGUCUAAAUGGAUGGUACAACGAGUUGCGAACUCGCGAGAGUAAGCUAAUCUCUUAAAGCCAUUCUCAGUUCGGAUUGUAGGCUGCAACUCGCCUACAUGAAGUCGAAUCGCUAGUAAUCGCGGAUCAGCAUGCCGCGGUGAUACGUUCCCGGGCCUUGUACACACCGCCCGUCACACCAUGAGAGUUUGUAACACCCAAAGUCGGUGGGGUAACCUUUUAGGACCAGCCGCUAAGGUGGGACAGAUGAUUAGGGUGAAGUCGUAACAAGGUAGCCGUAGGAGAACGCGGUUGG